CACGCAGUAAACGAUGAUUACUAGGAGUUUGCGAUAGACAGUAAGCUCCCGAGCGAAAGCGUUAAGUAAUCCACCUGGGGAGUACGCCGGCAACGGUGAAACUCAAAGGAAUUGACGGGGACCCGCACAAGCAGCGGAGCAUGUGGUUUAAUUCGAAGCAACGCGAAGAACCUUACCUGGACUUGACAUCCCCUGAAUGACUCGUAAUGGAGGAAGCCCUACGGGGCAGGGAGACAGGUGG
rnacentral:rRNA from 1 species